UACGUAGGGAGCAAGCGUUGUUCGGAUUUACUGGGCGUAAAGGGCGCGUAGGCGGCGCGGUAAGUCACUUGUGAAAUCUCUGAGCUUAACUCGGAACGGCCAAGUGAUACUGCAGUGCUAGAGUGCAGGAAGGGGCAAUCGGAAUUCUUGGUGUAGCGGUGAAAUGCGUAGAGAUCGGGAAGAACAUCGGUGGCGAAAGCGCUCUGCUGGACUGCAACUGACACUCAGGGACGAAAGCUAGGGGAGCGAAUGGG
rnacentral:rRNA from 1 species